rnacentral:rRNA from 1 species
AAUAGUUUUUUAAAUGGAAACUGGGAUGAAUGAAGUGAUGAGAUUUACACUGUCUUAAGUUGAGUUAUUAAAUUUAUUAAUUGAGUAAGAAAACUUAAAUAAAAAUAUGGGACGAGAAGACCCUAUAGAAUUUUAUAUAAAUUUAUUAUUUGAAUUUAUUAAUUAUUAAGAUGGUAAAUUUAUAUUUUAUUGGGAGGAUAAAUAAAUUUAAAUAACUUUAUAAAAUAAAAAAAGACAUUAAUUAAUGAAUGUUAUGAAUGGCUAAAGUUAGUUUAAGUAGAAUUAAUUACCUUAGGGAUAACAGCGUAAUAUUUUUUGAAAGAUCUGAUUGAUAAAAAUGAUUGC